rnacentral:rRNA from 1 species
GACGAACGCUGGCGGCGUGCUUAACACAUGCAAGUCGAGCGGUAAGGCCUCUUCGGGGGUACACGAGCGGCGAACGGGUGAGUAACACGUGGGUGACCUGCCCUCAGCUCUGGGAUAAGCCUGGGAAACUGGGUCUAAUACCGGAUAUGACCUUUCCUCGCAUGGGGUUUGGUGGAAAGUUUUUUCGGCUGGGGAUGGGCCCGCGGCCUAUCAGCUUGUUGGUGGGGUGAUGGCCUACCAAGGCGACGACGGGUAGCCGGCCUGAGAGGGCGACCGGCCACACUGGGACUGAGACACGGCCCAGACUCCUACGGGAGGAAGCAGUGGGGAAGAUUGCGCAAUGGGCGGAAGCCUGACGCAGCGACGCCGCGUGGGGGAGGACGGCCUUCGGGUUGUAAACCUCUUUCGACCCCGACGAAUUUGGACGGUAGGGGUAGAAGAAGCACCGGCCAACUACGUG